CACUAUCACUCCUACGGGGAGGCAGCAGUAGGGAAUCUUCACAAUGGGCGCAAGCCUGAUGGAGCAACACCGCGUGAGUGAAGAAGGGUUUCGGCUCGUAAAGCUCUGUUGUUAAAGAAGAACACGUAUGAGAGUAACUGUUCAUACGUUGACGGUAUUUAACCAGAAAGUCACGGCUAACUACGUGCCAGCAGCCGCGGUAAUACGUAGGUGGCAAGCGUUAUCCGGAUUUAUUGGGCGUAAAGAGAGUGCAGGCGGUUUUCUAAGUCUGAUGUGAAAGCCUUCGGCUUAACCGGAGAAGUGCAUCGGAAACUGGAUAACUUGAGUGCAGAAGAGGGUAGUGGAACUCCAUGUGUAGCGGUGGAAUGCGUAGAUAUAUGGAAGAACACCAGUGGCGAAGGCGGCUACCUGGUCUGCAACUGACGCUGAGACUCGAAAGCAUGGGUAGCGAACAGGAUUAGAUACCCUGGUAG
rnacentral:rRNA from 1 species